AUUGAACGCUGGCGGCAGGCUUAACACAUGCAAGUCGAACGGUAGCAGGAGAAAGCUUGCUUUCUUGCUGACGAGUGGCGGACGGGUGAGUAAUGCUUGGGAAUCUGGCUUAUGGAGGGGGAUAACUACGGGAAACUGUAGCUAAUACCGCGUAAUAUCUUCGGAUUAAAGAAUGGGACUUUUAGCCAUUCGCCAUAAGAUGAGCCCAAGUGGGAUUAGGUAGUUGGUGGGGUAAAGGCCUACCAAGCCGACGAUCUCUAGCUGGUCUGAGAGGAUGACCAGCCACACUGGAACUGAGACACGGUCCAGACUCCUACGGGAGGCAGCAGUGGGGAAUAUUGCGCAAUGGGGGCAACCCUGACGCAGCCAUGCCGCGUGAAUGAAGAAGGCCUUCGGGUUGUAAAGUUCUUUCGGUGGUGAGGAAGGCUAAUAUGUUAAUAGCAUAUUAGAUUGACGCUAGCCACAGAAGAAGCACCGGCUAACUCCGUG
rnacentral:rRNA from 1 species